rnacentral:rRNA from 1 species
UACGGAGGAUCCAAGCGUUAUCCGGAAUCAUUGGGUUUAAAGGGUCCGUAGGCGGUUUGGUAAGUCAGUGGUGAAAGCCCAUCGCUUAACGGUGGAACGGCCAUUGAUACUGCCAGACUUGAAUUAUUAGGAAGUAACUAGAAUAUGUAGUGUAGCGGUGAAAUGCUUAGAGAUUACAUGGAAUACCGAAUUGCGAAGGCAGGUUACUACUAAUGGAUUGACGCUGAUGGACGAAAGCGUGGGUAGCGAACAGGA